UAAUGAGGACAUGCAUUAUCCCCAAGCAGUUUGAUGCUUAAAUACAUAACACAAGACUUUAAUAAUAAAUACAAAACAGAAACCCACGAGGGGCAACCUAACAAAACAGGAGACAGUAAUAACAAGACAAGACCGGACUAAGACUAACAACAUUAAAACAAAACUAAAGUAAAGAUUUAACAAGAACUACAACUGACUAGACUAGACUAGACUAGACUAGACUAGACUAGACUCGCCAUACAAUUGACACACACACAAUGAACCAGCAUUGGACAGACAACACAGGGGCAUAAUAAAGGGAACCAAAUGAAGAGGGGAACAGGUGUGGGGCAUGAAAUCAUUAACAAUCAAUAAUGAGGAAACGAGAGGGCGGAGACAAAGAUGAGACUGGAGAGUACGGAAGGCCAUCAGUGCCAAAUUGUCUCUCUCCACAUUGCCACUAGAACAAGAAAAGCAAGACAAGAUGGGGCGGAACAAUGACAGCCCUAUCCUGAAGUGUGACCAAAAAAGAAAAAGAAGUAGCGUCACGUCUUAAGACUUUAGUCAUAACUAAAGCAACUAAAAACAUGGCACAUCAUUAAACACACGUGGUUUGUUUGAUCUGUAAGAGUGUUUAGCUCAUUUGUUGGAAAAUAAACAAAAAUCUGUUUUUCUAAACACUGACAACUUUGAGAUCACUGGCAACAGAUGAAACAAAAUAUCAGUUUAUUUUUAACACUUUAUUUGAAUGUAUUCUGAAGCUCUUUGAAUGCUAUUUUCAGUGUAAAAAUGUCUCUCACGUACCUUCUUGGGAUCAGUUCCACAUUUAUGGAAUGUUCUGCCCACUGCUUUUAGAUCAGCAGAUUCUGUAGCCAUCUUUAAGAAAACACAUCUUAUCCAUCAACACCUGACUGAUCAGAUCUGAGUUCUAUCUCUUUUCUGCUCUUUCAGCUCUGUUUACUGUUGUAGGCUUUAGAGACCAGUUUUCUUUUUAUUGCACUAAUGCUUUUUGCUUCCAUCGUUUCCCACAUUUGUAUGUCGCUUUGGAUAAGAGCUAAAUGUAAAUGAGUCAAUCACGCACACGUCAACAACAUGUUAAUGAAAGUUCAGAGAGAUCUUGUAGCUGCAGACGUACGGACGGCGCUUGACAUCAUGAGGACUCUUUUAGUUCUUCUGCUCUUAUCAGGUCAGUUUCACAAAUGUCAAAUUUAUCAUGAACAUGUUUGAUGUAAUAUAAGCUGUUUUCAUGAAUGUGGAGUGAAGUAACACAUGUUCUGUGUGUGUUUCAGCUGUGUUAGAUGUCUUGUUCUCACAGAGGUUUAUCUAUGUGAGUUCGACUAUGACCUGGUAUGAAGCUCAGAGAUACUGCACAGAAGUGUACACCGAUUUAGCCACAAUUACAGACAUGACCGAUGAAAAUAAGGCGAGGAGCUAUACAGGGGGAUCUGGAAAGGUUUGGAUUGGACUGUAUCGUAAGAAUGUUAUCUCUCCAUGGAUCUGGUCUGAUCAGAGCAACUUCUUAUUUAACCGAUGGGCUGCUGGACAGCCAAACAAUUAUGGGUCCUUUCAAUUCUGUGUUGCUGCGACAGCUGGUGGAUGGGAUGAUCAGUCAUGUACAGAACAGUUCUCUUUUGUUUGCUACAGUGGUGAGUAUCGACCGUGUGGUUUUCUGUAAGAAAAUGAUUUUCUUUAAUAAAGUUAAAUGUUUGAUCGUUUUGUAGGGGCUUGACAAACGCUCAAUUUUUAUGGGUGUGCCGCAUUAAAGACUUGGAAGUAAACGUCCACUGCUAUGAUUGCAUAGCAGUUUGCGUAGUCUUGCGUUGGAGCCUUAUGUGAAUUUUCUUGUACACAUAACUGACUUAUUUCCCGGAUGUGAUGUCAAGGCUUUGCGCAUAGUUUGUAUCGCCUAUAGUUGUAUGGUGUUUAAUGAUAAAUGACCGUACCUGUCAGCAUACUCGUGAUCACGAUCCGGACAGAAGAUCACUGCGAUCGCGGGUCUCAAAUGUUAAGAGAGAUUCCAAGAUAAAUAAACAAAAAGGAGACUCACGGUAACUUAUGGAUACGACCUAGCACCCGAAAUAAUACCAAAACAAUUGGUAUUUUGACUUUAAGCUCAAGGCCUGGUGUCAAUAACAGAUGCUAUCUCAGUAACAAGGGUGUUUUCAGUUCUGACACUUGAAUACGAUUCCUUCUUGUAUAACAAAAGCUUGGGUUAAAAUUGAGGUCUUAAUUCAUUCCCCCUUUAAUGAAUGAAUGAGGUUGGCCACUUGCAAUUUAACUCUGGGUUUACCAAAGAAAAGCUGCUCCCAACCAGGUUAGUUUCAAGGUGCAAGUUACUACAGUUACUGACUCUGAGUAUAAGUGACCUCUCCUUUAGAAACAGGCUUCGGUUACCCUGCUCUCUCAGGUUUGACACACCUCACAAUCUGAAACGGAAAACCCAGAGUUUCCCUCAGUUCAUGGUUGAUAUACUCAAGAUUUUUCACUAAACCUCCUUUCUGAAACUGCUACAUUAGCUUUGUUAUUAAUUUUUCUCCCACCGCUGCUCCUCCCACAGAGAAGAAGAGACAGGUGUUGAGAGUGGAAGUGAAAUCAGAUGAGAACGUGAACGAUCCUGAAGUGAAGAAGAAAGUUCUGGAGAAGAUCCAGCACAUCCUGAACAUGAAGGGCUUGGAAGGCAACGUCACGCUGUCAUGGAGAAAUCAAUCCGAUGGGAAUGUCUUCCAGAAGAAGCAGAAGAAUAAAGAGACUCAGCACACCUGCCAUUGAACUACAGCUGCAGACUUCAUUAUCAUACAUAGAUAUGGUAUAUGCUACAGGUGUAUAUACACACAAUAAUAUAAAAGUCUUAAUCCUCUGAGGUAGUGCAGUGACAUAAAGCAAUAGUGCAUCCGAGUCAAAUAGUAAGGAGGUUAUUGCACCUUUAUAGGAGUUUUUAUUGCACAUUUUCAUGGUGGGGAGUGUGUAAGAGGUUAUCCCCUUACCCGCUGUCUGCACCUGGGUCCUCUGUCCUUGUUCCCUCACCAUUUCAUGACAUGGGGCAAUUCAUGCUAUUAAGAAACCAUUAACUACGACUUUUCCCCCAAUAAACUCUUAGUUUGUUGCUUAUUAAUAAUUAGUAAGAUAGUUGUUAGGUUUAGGUAAAGACGAGACCGGAGAGAGUGUGUGGAAGGCCAUAUGGGCCAUAAUUGCCUCUCUUCACACAAAACAUGGGGUUCUCUCAUGGUUCUGUAACAUCUUGUCUUGCUUUUCUUGAUCUAGUGGAAGAACAAUGACACAGAUUAAAGAUGUUUAACAGAAAAACCUGUAAAUAAAACAAGAAUUCAGUCAA